AAGAACCCAACACAGCGUCCCCAAUCACUAGUACUCUAGUGUGGGAGCGCUUAACUGGCGCCCGAGCAGGGACCCACAUUCUUCACGGAAGUAAAGGGAAAUGGGCAAUUGUUGGCAAAAUUAUGAAGUACUUCUGUGAUUUGCAAAGUAAUGGGGUGAAAGUCCUUGCCAUAACAUAAUACAAUAAAUAAUAACAUAAUUUCUAGCAAGUGUGGUUGCACUAGAUAAUUCUAUAAUAUAAAAGAAAUCGUGGCUAAAUGGUGGUAUUGGCAAUACCUAGGCUCAAAUCCGUGCCGAGUCGACUCUUAAAACGAAAAUACAAGAAAUUUGCAGGCAUAAUGGUGGUACGAGAUUGAUUCUCGUACCGAUGUUGAAAUCCUUGCCGUAAGACAAAUUUCAUAAAAAAUAAACGUCACAAUUUCCACCUGUGUUGAAUGAUGGGUUUCCGUCUAAAUUAAAAGGAAAAAUAGUGGUCAAAGUUAAGUUUAAAGCACUAACUAUAUAACAAAAUUAAAAGGCGGUUGUCUGGAAAUCUCUAAUCAACAAGCAAAGCAUAAAUAUGCAAAAAUAAAAACAUGAAUUGCA